rnacentral:rRNA from 1 species
CCUACGGGACGCAGCAGUGGGGAAUAUUGCACAAUGGGGGAAACCCUGAUGCAGCGACGCCGCGUGAGUGAAGAAGUAUUUCGGUAUGUAAAGCUCUAUCAGCAGGGAAGAUAAUGACGGUACCUGACUAAGAAGCCCCGGCUAACUACGUGCCAGCAGCCGCGGUAAUACGUAGGGGGCAAGCGUUAUCCGGAUUUACUGGGUGUAAAGGGUGCGUAGGUGGCAGGGCAAGUCAGAUGUGAAAGCCCGGGGCUCAACCCCGGUACUGCAUUUGAAACUGUCCAGCUGGAGUGCAGGAGAGGUAAGCGGAAUUCCUAGUGUAGCGGUGAAAUGCAUAGAGAUCAUACAGAACACCGAUUGCGAAGGCAGCUUACCAAACUACGACUGACGUUGAGGCACGAAAGCGUGGGGAGCAAACAGGAUUAGAUACCCUAGUAGUC